GCAUAUCAAUAAGCGGAGGAAAAGAAACCAACAGGGAUUGCCUCAGUAACGGCGAGUGAAGCGGCAAAAGCUCAAAUUUGAAAUCUGGCACCUUCGGUGUCCGAGUUGUAAUUUGAAGAAGGUAACUUUGGAGUUGGCUCUUGUCUAUGUUCCUUGGAACAGGACGUCACAGAGGGUGAGAAUCCCGUGCGAUGAGAUGCCCAAUUCUAUGUAAAGUGCUUUCGAAGAGUCGAGUUGUUUGGGAAUGCAGCUCUAAGUGGGUGGUAAAUUCCAUCUAAAGCUAAAUAUUGGCGAGAGACCGAUAGCGAACAAGUACAGUGAUGGAAAGAUGAAAAGAACUUUGAAAAGAGAGUGAAAAAGUACGUGAAAUUGUUGAAAGGGAAGGGCUUGAGAUCAGACUUGGUAUUUUGCAAGCCUUACCUUCGUGGUGGGGUCCCCUGCAGUUUACUGGGCCAGCAUCGGUUUGGAUGGUAGGAUAAUGACUUGGGAAUGUGACUUUGCUUCGGUAAAGUGUUAUAGCCCUUGUUGAUACUGCCUGUCUAGACCGAGGACUGCGUCUUGACUAGGAUGC
rnacentral:rRNA from 1 species